CUUGAAUAUAAUCACCACAGAUGAGCCCCCUGGAUGAAACCCCGGAAACGGAACAUGUGAAAGCCCAUCUCCAAAGUGACAUUUCUCUGCGUGCCAGCAUGAGUCAGUGAAUGCAUACCUAUCCUCCAAACACACUUUGCUGAGUAGACAAGAGGAGAGUGGUCCAUUGAGAUUGACUAUACAUCUACUGUGUUUCUUAUGGACAAAUUUGAACAUGUUUACAUUCAUUUACAAAGCCACUCUGGAAA
rnacentral:lncRNA from 1 species